rnacentral:tRNA from 1 species
UCAUAGCUCAGCUGGAUAGAGUGUUUGGCUACGAACCAAAAGGUCGCAGGUUCGAAUCCUGCUGG